ACACUCCUACGGGAGGCAGCAGUGGGGAAUAUUGCACAAUGGGCGCAAGCCUGAUGCAGCCAUGCCGCGUGUAUGAAGAAGGCCUUCGGGUUGUAAAGUACUUUCAGCGGGGAGGAAGGUGUUGAGGUUAAUAACCUCAGCAAUUGACGUUACCCGCAGAAGAAGCACCGGCUAACUCCGUGCCAGCAGCCGCGGUAAUACGGAGGGUGCAAGCGUUAAUCGGAAUUACUGGGCGUAAAGCGCACGCAGGCGGUCUGUCAAGUCGGAUGUGAAAUCCCCGGGCUCAACCUGGGAACUGCAUUCGAAACUGGCAGGCUAGAGUCUUGUAGAGGGGGGUAGAAUUCCAGGUGUAGCGGUGAAAUGCGUAGAGAUCUGGAGGAAUACCGGUGGCGAAGGCGGCCCCCUGGACAAAGACUGACGCUCAGGUGCGAAAGCGUGGGGAGCAAACAGGAUUAGAAACCCCUGUAGUCCC
rnacentral:rRNA from 1 species